UUCAUUCCAGGGUGGGUAAUUUAUUCUAUCCACAGAUUCAUAACUGUCACUUCUGUUUAUGUUGCUGCUGUAACAGUGAUAGUGUCCCAGUGUUUCUUGAGCCCUUCCUCCUCCAGUUUCUGUGGAUGGUAGAUAAAAAGUUUGUUCUUGCUGUGGUCCCUUGUCUGUUUAUCCUUAAACCACUGACUGAUGGCUCUGAUGACGUAGGACAAGAGGAGCAGCAGAGAUGUGCAAACUCACAGCUGUCUUGAGGCCUUCAGAAGGAAAGAGAAAUGUCUUUUUGGCUGCGGCUGUGCAUUCAGGAUUUAUCACACCCUCGCUUCCUCACCAACACAUGUAAACACACAUCAUCUUAGUAGGGAAAUGGACUGCAUGGCCAGAUGCUCAGUCCGCCGUGGGAACCAGUAACCUCUGAGCGUGGAAAGGAGAGAGAAUGGCAAUUGGAUGUUUCCUGGUUCUUGGCUUGGAUGAAAUGGAUUAUAGUUGUUGUAACUGUAUCAAGCCUUAGUCAAACAGCAGUGCUCUUUUGUUUGGUUUGUGAAGUUGGUGGAGUUUGCUGUGUGAAAACAACAUUUUUGGCAGUAAGUGUGUUGUCCUGACGCAGUUAGCCCCAUGAAUCCUCAGAAUAACUUUCUUUGACCCGCUUCAAGCACUAGUCCUGAAUCUCUGACUUCUCUAGUUCGUAUACCCUCAAUUCUUUUGUCACCUCCUCUCCUUAUCUCCUAGUCUAUCCAUCCUGAGACAUGAGAAUACAAGGUAAUGAAGAGACAAGAGGAGAGAAGAGUCACACAAACAGGAAACACAACAUUACUUGACAUCCAUGCUUAAGAGCUGUCAUCAUCGAACAACAUCAGUUGAAUAUACGCAGGGCUUAGCUACAUCACCUGGAUACUUAGAAGAGUCUAUCUCUGCAUCCCUGUCACAUUUUCAAAACAGCAAUGUUUCAUUUGGAAAUGGUAACAUCCUUCUGGAUGAUUCUUGAUUGGAUUAAAGGAAGUUUACACACAGAGAAGUUUACACACAGGGAGUCACGACGAUUACCAACAGCCUGAGGAAGCACCGACCACGUCUCCUAUCAGUUCUCUACUCUUAAAAACUUCCUCUUAUUGAAAUUCAUCAGGAAAUUUGGACUGCAGUUGUGCAAUGAAAAUCAUCAAAUUAGCAACCACUGCUGACAUGCUACAAAUAUCAAGAAGAUGACACAUGUGGACCUGUUAGGUGGUCACUUCUUGUAGUGGUCACUACAUGAAAUAACAUUUGUUGCCUUGGUUAAUUUUUUUUAUGCGCACAUGUACCCCUAAAUACAUUUUACAAUUCGCACACAUCUAUUUUUAGUCGCAAAUGCAAGUGAAAUGAUCGUACUGUCGAGCCCUGCAUCAUAGUCAUUGGAAAAAGUGAUCAUCACAUGUGAAUUUUUUUUUUGAAGUGACCACCCAGGACCUGCUAGAAUAAUUAUAAAGGAGGUGACCAUGGCUGAAAAAGUGACCAUCCCAGAUCUGUCAGGAAUACCACAAAAAAAAGGGACCAUCUUGGGCCUGUCGCAGUAAUCAUCCAAAGUGGUGACCACUGCUGACCCAUAGAGGAAGUCAUUGAAAAAGUGACCACAUCAGUAGGGAGGCUGGGUGGUUGCUUUUCAACACAGAGUUCAUAAGUUUUCAGCUCAGACACCCUAAAGUUAAGUUAAAAGAUUUCUGAGGGUUAAUGAAAGAAGUCUGAACCUCUUUCCAGCUCGGUGUCUCUUUUCCUUCCUCCUCACUCCCACCAGUGUCCGGGUGUCUGCCCUCUCCCCUCUAAGCUGUGACAGGUUGUUGUUAGUAACAUAAUUAAGUCAACUGUCCACAUUUUCAGCCUCACUGGCAUUUGAAAACCCCAUGCGACCGAAGGGUGCGGCACACAUCAUUACCCAUCACCUCCCUCUCGCCCUCUUGGGCAGUUUUGGGUUGCGGCCUGUUGCAUUAGCUGCGUGUAUCCGGUCUUAUGUGUUGUUUGGGAUACACGGUUAUUUCCUUCUCAGUUUCUCUCUUUCCCCCUCAGGCUCUGCUCAGCUGCUCAGGCCAUCUGUGCAAGGGCAAACAGAGAACAGAGGGAUGAAGGGGGAGAGUUGGUGGCGGGGGGGAAAAGGAAGGAAAUCAAGAAGAGCAAAGUUACAAAGAGAAGCAGAGAAAGAGUGGAGAAUGAAUGACAGCCUUCUUGGUGUGUGAAGUUAAGUUUAGAGGAUGAGUGAAAGAUGACAGAAAAGAGGGGAAAAAAGAGUGUGCAGAAAUCAUUUCCAGCAAACCCAGUGGCAUAAAGAUGAUGUCUGUUCUCCUCUAGAAAUAGGACAGUGAGUGUAUGCAUCCAAGUGAAGGUCAGUGGAAACUAGGAUGACUAGUUUUGUCUGGAUUCGAGCGUUAGACCAGCAAACAUCAGCCAAUAGUGAGCUCAUUUUAUGUCUUGUUUUUUCCCUGCCUUCUUCGUCCCACCUCCUCUUUCUGUUCCCAUGCUCCCCAGGCCAAGCCUCUUCCUCUGGGCUGUCCUCUGCAUCGCCUCAGAGUUUGUCUCACCACUCUUCGUCCUGCACAGUUGGCUCUUCGCUCUGUUUAUAAACUUUGACAAGCCAGUUUCCUGCUACUUCCCUCCUCCCCCUCGGCCCUUCUCCAACUUGUAAAAACCUAUCUUUAUCCUCUCAUCCUUCCGUUUUCAAAGUCAGAGCACAAAACAAACUUGGAGACAUUUGUCUAAUAUUGAUGCAGACAUUGUGUGACAGCCCACAUUACAGAUGGUUGCCCUUAGCAGGCCUCAUAUGCUUCAUGUCCCAGUUCUAGUCUUCAGUUGCUCAUGUCUGUGAUUGCUCCGUUUGUGGCCUGUGAGUCAAACUGUCAGCCUGUCUCUGGAUUUAUUAUACAUGCUUUGACCCAUUUAACAAAAUACAUCCUGAUCCUUUUACCACCUCUUCCGACUCAUCUUUAUUUUGGCUGUUUUAAUAAUUUGAAGCAAGCUUUUUUCUUGGAGCUUUAAAGGGUGCACGUCUUUCCAUCAUCUCUGGUGUGGUUCAUAUAUGUGUUUUUGUAAUCAGUAUGCUUUUUGCUCUCCCUUAAGUGUACUAUUCCAGAGAAGUAGUCUUCCACACUAGUGCCUUUGAUGCCACUUUGUUACAGAGGAAAAAAAUAACCCGUCACAGCUCAACUGGCCAAGUGUGUCACUGAGAUUUUUAGUGCCACAGGGGGGUUUUUGCUGCCGCGCUGCAAUCGGCAUUGAAAUAAAUGAGGGCAAUUUGUAGAAUGUGUUGUUCCCUGCUGUCUGGCUCCUCCCUCUGCAGACCAUGAAACGGAACACACACUCACCUCAUCCUAAAAACUGCUGAUCUGUUUGUUUUAGUGAAAGUCUGCCCCCUGAGAACUCACUGUGACGAUGGGAUUUAUUUUUACACGACUGCUGUUAUUGGGCUGCACUCUCAUAGGCCACAGGCCUCUCAUUAAUUCAUGCAGCAGUUCAGAAUCCUUCACAUUAACACGAUGCCUUUUUCUCCAUUUAUGUCCACAGCUUGUUUGCCUUCUAACUUUUGGAUGCCUGCAUAAAAAUAUUUGUGUGUGAUGCUAAAGCUUUAGGGAGAUUCGAGCCAAGGCUUUAUCUUACUACCAGGGCCAACAACAUUCCUGGGGCUUUAUGCACUGAUUGGAGAGACCACCAACUGCUCUUCGUGUCUGAUCUUGUUGUUGACUGACUGUGUUGUUCUUUUUUAUCAUCAUGUCUCC
rnacentral:lncRNA from 1 species